AGAUUGAACGCUGGCGGCGUGCCUAACACAUGCAAGUCGAACGCGAAAAGGGCUUCGGCUCUUAGUAGAGUGGCGAACGGGUGAGUAACACGUGGGUGACCUACCUUCGAAUGGGGGAUAACGUCCCGAAAGGGACGCUAAUACCGCAUAACAUCCUGCCUUUGAACAGGUGGAGAUCAAAGCCGGGGAUCGCAAGACCUGGCGUUUGAAGAGGGGCCCGCGUCUGAUUAGCUAGUUGGUGAGGUAACGGCUCACCAAGGCGACGAUCAGUA
rnacentral:rRNA from 1 species